CAAUAGAAUAGGUUUUCUCAAGGGUGGCCGGUUUACUCCGAUUUGAAAGGGGGGAUGCCGGUGACAGUAUUCGAAUCGUUAACGCUGAUGAUCACGUUCGCAGGUCUUGUAGUCGCGAUUCUGUCUUCUUCACAAAAAAAAUAAUCCACCCUUGAGUUAACGGCUCCAGGUGGAUUAUCUUCCCAACGCCGGCCCCUUAGUGGGAACCGUCUAUUGUAACCGGUCCAUGUUCCCAGCAUGGUCC
rnacentral:sRNA from 1 species